AUUGAACGCUGGCGGCAGGCCUAACACAUGCAAGUCGAACGAGUGGCGGACGGGUGAGUAAUGUCUGGGAAACUGCCUGAUGGAGGGGGAUAACUACUGGAAACGGUAGCUAAUACCCCAUACCAUCAGAUGUGCCCAGAUGGGAUUAGCUCGUUGGUGGGGUAACGGCUCACCAAGGCGACGAUCCCUAGCUGGGCGGAGAGGAUGAACAGCCACACUGGAAAUGAGACGCGGUCCAGCUGCCUACGGUAGGCAGCAGAGGGGAAUAUUGCACAAUGGUGGGAAGCCUGAUGCAGCCAUGCCGCGUGUAUGAAGAAGGCCUUGGGGUUGUAAAGUACUUUCAGCGGGGAGGCGUUACCCGCAGAAGAAGCACCGGCUAACUCCGUGCCAGCAGCCGCGGUAAUAC
rnacentral:rRNA from 1 species